rnacentral:rRNA from 1 species
GACGAACGCUGGCGGCGUGCUUAACACAUGCAAGUCGAACGGAAAGGCCCUGCUUUUGUAGGGUGCUCGAGUGGCGAACGGGUGAGUAACACGUGAGUAACCUGCCCUUGACUUUGGGAUAACUUCAGGAAACUGGGGCUAAUACCGGAUAGGAGCUCCUGCUGCAUGGUGGGGGUUGGAAAGUUUCGGCGGUUGGGGAAGGACUCGCGGCUUAUCCGCUUGUUGGUGGGGUAGUGGCUUACCAAGGCUUUGACGGGUAGCCGGCCUGAGAGGGGGACCGGGCACAUUGGGAGUGGGAAGGGGCCAGUCGGCAAGGGGGAGGAAGGGGGGGGAAAUUUGCCGAAAGGGGCGGAAGCCGUGAUGAAGAACCCCGGGUCGGAAAAGUCGGCUUUUGGGGAGGAACACCUUUUCCCGUGAAUGGGAGCGUGGGGGAGGGAAAUAGGUAAAAAGCCACCGCUAAAUUGGUG